AUUUAGUAUAGAGGGCAGUGCUGGGAUUACCAGAACCCAGACUCGGACCCAGAUUUAUGGGAAAGGGAGACAGCUUUAUAAGAAUGGCGAUCGGCAAAACCAGAUCAUAUGAGGAUCCUUUCCCUUCAAGACUACACUGUUUCCACAGCCUCUCCAUCUAGCCAUUGGAUACCUUCAACAGAGAAGUGAUCAAUAUCAACAACAACAUAUUGAUUGGUGAGAUCCACCCAUUUGCUAUUAUCCGAUCAGUGCACUGUUCCCUCUGUUCUUGCC